CAUCAAGAAAGUUACUCUAUAUAGUAGAGAGACAAAUGUGCUUUGUUAAUAUGCAUGCGACGAAUACUCUAUGAGAUGAUAGGAAAUAAAGUUUCAUGCUUCGAUUUUGACUAGAAAUUAUAAGUUCUUGAACUUAUUAUCCAUGUUGGGACAAAAUGAGCCAUAGUGUCAUAAAGAGGCACUUGGACUAGAGAAUUAUUAAACUGCAACGUAGAGACUUGAUAAUAGGCCACCUUGACAUCAACUAUAUUCCAUAUUUGAGAUAUGAUGAAAUAGUGACUUGGCCACGAGGAUAUUUGCUGUAUACCAUGUUACUGAGCAUGAGAAUUUGGUACUUGCGACUGAUCGUUUGAUUACUUGCCAUUGUGCUCAUUCGCACAUGCUUGUGAGGGUCGCUCCCUACAAGCCGGCACUCCGGAGAUGGCCAUCGCGAUACAUAUUCGCCGUGCGGGAUUGGGCGCCGAAGUGGAUUGCCGUGGGCCAGGCUCAUUCCUAGGGUGGAGAUGAUGACUACCACGGGGCCAUUAGGCUCGGCACCG
rnacentral:lncRNA from 1 species